UUUUACUUUGCCGGCGAGCGGCGAACGGGUGAGUAAUAUCUGGGGAUCUACCUGAUAGAAGGGGAUAACUACUGGAAACGGUAGCUAAUACCGUAUAAUGUCGUAAGACCAAAGAUGAGGGACCUUCAUAGGCCUCAUGCUAUCAAAUGAACCCAGAUGGGAUUAGCUAGUAGGUGGGGUAAUAGCUCACCUAGGCGACGAUCUCUAGCUGGUCUGAGAGGAUGACCAGCCACACUGGAACUGAGACACGGUCCAGACUCCUACGGGAGGCAGCAGUGGGGAAUAUUGCACAAUGGGGGAAACCCUGAUGCAGCUAUGCCGCGUGUGUGAAGAAGGCCUUCGGGUUGUAAAGCACUUUCAGCGGGGAAGAAGGCACUAGUGUAAAUAGCACUAUUGAUUGACGUUACCCGCAGAAGAAGCACCGGCUAACUCCGUGCCAGCAGCCGCGGUAAUACGGAGGGUGCAAGCGUUAAUCGGAAUUACUGGGCGUAAAGCGUACGUAGGCGGUUUGUUAAGUUAGAUGUGAAAUCCCCGGGCUUAACCUGGGAACUGCAUUUAAAACUGGCAAGCUAGAGUCUCGUAGAGGGGGGUAGAAUUCCAGGUGUAGCGGUGAAAUGCGUAGAUAUCUGGAGGAAUACCAGUGGCGAAGGCGGCCCCCUGGACGAAGACUGACGCUGAGGUACGAAAGCGUGGGGAGCAAACAGGAUUAGAUACCCCGGUAGUCCACGCCGUAAACGAUGUCGAUUUGAAGGUUGUAGCCUU
rnacentral:rRNA from 1 species